rnacentral:rRNA from 1 species
ACAGAACUGUGGGGACACGUAAGGAAAGCGGAAGCCGGGAAUGGAAAGCCCGGUGCAAGCGGGGUACCAGUCACUUUGGCAAAUCCGGGUGGCAAUGGGAAGCCGUGAUGCGGAGCGAAAUAAAGUAGCGAAGUCCGUGAGCCAUGCGUCAAGGAAAGCCGCUAUCGUUUAUACCGUACCCGUACCGUAAACCGACACAGGUGGAUGAGGAGAGAAUCCUAAGGCCGGCGGAAGAAGCAUUGUCAAGGAACUCGGCAAAAUGGCCCCGUAACUUAGGGAUAAGGGGUGCCUGGGAAACCAGGCCGCAGAGAAUAGGCUCAAGCAACUGUUUAGCAAAAACACAGGUCUAUGCGAAACCGAAAGGUGAGGUAUAUGGGCUGACGCCUGCCCGGUGCUGGAAGGUUAAGAGGAGAGGUUAGCGGUAACGCGAAGCUUUGAAUUUAAGCCCCAGUAAACGGCGGCCGUAACAAUAACGGUCCUAAGGUAGCGAAAUUCCUUGUCGGGUAAGUUCCGACCCGCACGAAAGGCGUAAUGAUUUGAGCGCUGUCUCGACAAUGCAUCCGGUGAAAUUGAAGUACCAGUGAAGAUGCUGGUUACCUGCGCCAGGACGGAAAGACCCCAUGGAGCUUUACUCCAGUCUGGUACUGGGACUCGGUAUUGCAUGUACAGGAUAGGUGGGAGGCUAGGAGAUGGUAACGCCAGUUGCCAUGGAGCCGCUGUUGGGAUACCACCCUUGCAGUAUUGGGUUUCUAACCAGCCGCCGUGACCCGGCGGUGGGACAAUGCCAGACGGGGAGUUUGACUGGGGCGGUCGCCUCCGAAAGGGUAUCGGAGGCGCCCAAAGGUUCCCUCAGAAUGGACGGAAACCAUUCGAAGAGUGCAAAGGCAGAAGGGAGCUUGACUGCGACACCGACGGGUGGAGCAGGUACGAAAGUAGGGCUUAGUGAUCCGGUGGUAUUAAGUGGGAAUGCCAUCGCUCAACGGAUAAAAGCUACCCUGGGGAUAACAGGCUUAUCACUCCCAAGAGUUCACAUCGACGGAGUGGUUUGGCACCUCGAUGUCGGCUCAUCGCAUCCUGGGGCUGUAGUAGGUCCCAAGGGUUGGGCUGUUCGCCCAUUAAAGCGGUACGCGAGCUGGGUUCAGAACGUCGUGAGACAGUUCGGUCCCUAUCCGGCGUGGGCGUAGGAUAUCUGAGAGGAGCUGUCCUUAGUACGAGAGGACCGGGAUGGACGGGCCGCUGGUGCAUCGGUUAGACUGCCAAGUCUACGGCCGAGUAGCCAAGCCCGGAAGGGAUAAACGCUGAAGGCAUCUAAGCGUGAAGCCCCCCUUAAGAUGAGAUAUCCCAUUCGAAAGAAGUAAACCCCCUUGAAGACGACGAGGUAGAUAGGGCAGAGGUGGAAGUGCAGUAAUGCAUGGAGCUGACUGUUACUAAUCGGGUGAGGGCUUGACC